rnacentral:misc_RNA from 1 species
GAUGAAGAACGUAGCAAAAUGCGAUAAGUAAUGUGAAUUGCAGAAUUCAGUGAAUCAUCGAAUCUUUGAACGCACAUUGCGCCCGCCAGUACUCUGGCGGGCAUGCCUGUCCGAGCGUCAUUUCAACCCUCAGGGCCCUCCAGCAGGGCGCUGGUGUUGGGGAUCGGCAGUCCCAGCGGCUGCCGUCCCUGUAAUGUAGUGGCGGUCCCACCGUGACCUCCCCUGUGCAGUACAUCGCUCGCAGAGGGACAGCGGUGCGGCCAAGCCGUAAAACGCCCAACUCUUCAAGGUUGACCUCGGAUCAGGUAGGACUACCCGCUGAACUUAAGCAUAUCAAUAAGCGGAGGA